rnacentral:rRNA from 1 species
GACGAACGCUGGCGGCGUGCUUAACACAUGCAAGUCGAACGGAAAGGCCCUGCUUUUGUGGGGUGCUGGAGUGGCGAACGGGUGAGUAACACGUGAGUAACCUGCCCUUGACUUUGGGAUAACUUCAGGAAACUGGGGCUAAUACCGGAUAGGAGCUCCUGCUGCAUGGUGGGGGUUGGAAAGUUUCGGCGGUUGGGGAUGGACUCGCGGCUUAUCAGCUUGUUGGUGGGGUAGUGGCUUACCAAGGCUUUGACGGGUAGCCGGCCUGAGAGGGUGACCGGCCACAUUGGGACUGAGAUACGGCCCAGACUCCUACGGGAGGCAGCAGUGGGGAAUAUUGCACAAUGGGCGGAAGCCUGAUGCAGCAACGCCGCGUGCGGGAUGACGGCCUUCGGGUUGUAAACCGCUUUCGCCUGUGACGAAGCGUGAGUGACGAUAAUGGGUAAAGAAGCACCGGCUAACUACGUG